CCUACGGGAGGCUGCAGUAGGGAAUUUUCGUCAAUGGGCGCAAGCCUGAACGAGCGAUGCCGCGUGAGUGAAGAAGGCCUUCGGGUCGUAAAGCUCUGUUGCGGGGGAAAAAAGGCAGCAUCAGGAAAUGGGUGCUGACUGAUGGUGCCCCGCCAGACAGUCACGGCUAACUACGUGCCAGUAGCCGCGGUAAUAAGUAGGUGGCGAGCGUUAUCCGGCAUGAUGGGGCGUAAAGGGUGCGCAGGCGGUCAUGCAAGGCUGGAGGGAAACGGAUGAGCUCAACUCAGGCCUGGGUUUGGAAACUGGAGGACUGGAGGGCAGGAGAGGGCGGUGGAACUCCAGGUGUAGCGGGAAAAGGCGUAGAUAUAUGGAAGAACACCAGUGGGGGAGGCGGCCGCCUGGCCUGUUGCUGACGCUGAGGCACGAAAGCGUGGGGAGCAAAUAGGAUUAGAUACCCUUGUAGUC
rnacentral:rRNA from 1 species